rnacentral:rRNA from 1 species
CCUACGGGCGGCAGCAGUGGGGGAUAUUGCACAAUGGGGGAAACCCUGAUGCAGCGACGCCGCGUGGGUGAAGAAGCGCCUCGGCGCGUAAAGCCCUGUCAGCAGGGAAGAAAAUGACGGUACCUGAAGAAGAAGCCCCGGCUAACUACGUGCCAGCAGCCGCGGUAAUACGUAGGGGGCAAGCGUUAUCCGGCAUUACUGGGUGUAAAGGGGGCGCAGACGGCGAUGCAAGCCAGGAGUGAAAGCCCGGGGCCCAACCCCGGGACUGCUCUGGGAACUGCGUGGCUAGAGUGCAGGAGGGGCAGGCGGAAUUCCUGGUGUAGCGGUGAAAUGCGUAGAUAUCAGGAGGAACACCGGUGGCGAAGGCGGCCUGCUGGACUGCAACUGACGUUGAGGCCCGAAAGCGUGGGGAGCAAACAGGAUUAGAUACCCCAGUAGUC